UCUCCGUUGGUGAACCAUCGGAGGGAUCAUUACAGAGUUAUCUAACUCCCAAACCCAUGUGAACUUACCAUUUGUUGCCUCGGCAGAGCCUACCCGGUAACUGUUCGGAGAAGCUACCCUGUAGCUACCCUGUAACGGCCUACCCUGUAACGCCUGCCGGUGGACUACUAGACUCUUGUUAUUUUUAAAGUAAUCUGAGCGUCUUAUUUUAAUGAGUCAAAACUUUCAACAACGGAUCUCUUGGUUCUGGCAUAGAUGAAGAACGCAGC
rnacentral:misc_RNA from 1 species